UCUGUCAAACUUCCUGUGUGAUUCUGAAUUGCAUUGUGUCACUCCCCCUUCCUUCCCAACUGUAUAAGAAGGAUAAUUGGAGAUAAAAUGCUAUUGCAUGGUAGGAGGCCUCUGGAAAAAGAACAUCCUCUUUCUUCACUGUAUACAAAAGUACAUUUUCUUUGUUAUUAUUCCAAUAGUAUACGACUUCAAGACUGCUGACUAUGGAACAAUUCAGUGACAAAAAUAGUGGAGAUGUGCAGGAUACUGAGAUCCCAAACUCAGAAGACUUCGGAAGAAACAUCUGGCUCGAGCUCCUGAAAAUCAAAGCUCACUCAUAGGACUGCUUUUCUGAUUUUGCUGAGUCAGCUCUCUUCUUCCUCCAAGCUCUGAAUUGUAAAGCUGAGUUGCAAGAUUUAGGGUUUUUUUUUUCCACCGGUAAAAAGGGGCUUCAAAAGAAGAUCUUUCCAAGCUAGAGUUCCUCAUGCAGGUGCCACAUUAGGUGACUGUGGCCAAGGAGACUUGAAGAGAAAUGUAGCUCAAUAUUAAUGAGUAAAAAUAUCACUGUACAUCUAGUGCAUGGUGCUUGGGAAAUGUCCACUCUGAGGUAGUCUUCAAUGUGACAGGUAUAGGAAAUUAGUUCUCCCUAAUGCCCAUCCACAUAAGAGCCUUCUUGGAUUUAUUAAGAGGCUUCUAACUAAACAAUCUCUGCAGUGAAUCCAGGAAGCCUGCACUUUUGUGAUCCUGGGUGUGCUACACAAGGGGUAUAGCAUGAUGGUAUUUGCAGUGAGAUGCACUAUAUCCCAAGAGAAAAGCUGAAGCAUCAGGGUGCAGCUUCUCAAAGACCCUGCUUCCAAACCUCUGCAGCACCAGAAGUGCUAAUAGUUGAACAUGAGGGUUGGUACUUCAUAUUCCCCCUCCUCCAGCCUCAGCCCAAAAUGUUCAGCUUUUGUUAUGCUUACAUCAGAAUCAUUUUCUCACAUUGUCUCCUUUCCAGAACUGACUGUAGAUCAGUUGUUGCUCCUGGAGUGUGUGGAAAGCACCAUAAUAUCAAAAGUACUGCGAAUGGUGAGAAAAUUCCUCAAAGGUCUUUGCUGUCUGCAUGCAAAAUGUCCAUUCUAACCCAGAAACAUUCAGGCUGGAUGAUGAGCUGGUUUCCUCCUUCCAAGACAAAGAGCUGAACAUUGCAGCAGCAGAGAUUGAGCUGUGUGGAGUGAAACUGCAGAGAGACAGACCUUCUAUCACUGGCAUCUGGGACCCCCAGGCUUUCUGACCCAUUACUGCACUAUACAUAGCCCUGCGCUCUUUGUACUGUCUGAUGCAGUGUUGUGUUGAUUAGAGUAAAAUCUUUUUGGUUCGGCUCUUCCCUGGGGUCAACUCAAGACAUCAGGCUUAGAACUGGUUCCAAUUUUCAAAAGCCCCCAAAUGGGUUCAGAAUCGAGGUUUUUGAUUCAGUCUUUCUAAACAAGGAUGCCACUUACAAAAUUUGGAUCCAACUUCAGUUUGGGAAUUUUGACAGCUGUAUUCAGAUUCACAUUUAUAUGGAUAGGUGCAUCAUCCAAAAUUCAGAUCCUUAUGUGAAUUUAUAACACUCUCAAGGUUAGGGACUCUAGAGUUCUGGGGGCUUAGAACUACAUUUGUCUUUAAUUCUCCAUAUCAGUGAUCACCAAUGUUUUCAGGUGGUAGGCUAAAACAACACAACUUGUCUAAGGUGGGCCAACACUUGUGACCCAGCUGUUAGGUUAGAUUAUUAUAUUUAGCCUUAUUUGGACCUGCUUGAAUUGUGACUAAUACUAUUAUUUGAACUUCUUGCAUUGUAUCUACAUUGUCAACUAUGGCCUUGGGCUUGCUUCCACCUUAUGUUCUUGAACUAUCAGUAUGAGAUGGCAGCUUAUGUUCUAGUGUUAUCAGCAUAGGCAUGUGGAAUGUGAGCCUUUUUACUAUCUUAAAUUAACUGAACUUGGCACUAACCAAUUGAAUCAGAGGGAUAGGAUGCUUGGAUAUGUUAAUGAAAGGGGAUAAGAGGGAACCAAUUGGACAGUACCCAAUGGCAGAGCCCUUGGGAUUUCUAGUUUUGGUAGAUGGACCAAAUUAAAAGGCCGGGAGCAGAACCAAAUUAAGAUGUGAUGAACUUGUUGGAACAAAGGAAUAUGCUGACAGGAUAGAACAUAAACAGUAUGAUGACAUUGAUGCUGACUCCGUGAAGGAACAUCUUGAGAAGCUGGAUACCUUCAAGUCAGCCGGCCCUGACAAUCUUCACCCCAGGGUACUCAAGGAGCUGGCGAGCAUCAUAGCCCAGCCUCUAGCACGGAUCUUUGAAAACUCUUGGCGCUCUGGUGUAGUGCCCAAAGACUGGAAGAAGGCCAAUGUGGUGCCUAUCUUCAAGAAAGGGAGGAAAGUGGAUCCGGCUAACUAUAGGCCCAUUAGCCUGACCUCUAUCCUGGGGAAGAUCUUAGAAAAGUUUAUUAAAGAGGCCAUCCUUAAUGGACUGGCCGACGCCAACAUCUUAAGGGAUAGCCGGGUUUGUCGCGGGUAGGUCUUGCUUGACCAAUCUCAUUUCCUUCUACGACCAGAUGACCUAUCACCUGGACAAGGGAGAAGAGAUUGAUGUCAUAUAUCUUGACUUCAAAAAAGCCUUCGAUCUGGUUUCCCAUGAUCGCCUCUUGGAGAAACUGUCCAAUUGUCGCCUUGGGUCCUCCACAAUCCACUGGCUGGAAAAUUGGCUCCGGGGUCGGACCCAGAGGGUAGUAAUAGAUGGAAGUCACUCAUCGUGGUGUCCUGUGACCAGUGGGGUCCCCCAAGGCUCUGUCCUUGGACCCAUACUGUUCAACAUCUUCAUUAAUGAUGUGGACACUGGAGUCAGAAGCGGACUGGCCAAGUUCGCCGAUGACACCAAACUUUGGGGCAAAGCAUCCACACCAGAAGACAGGUGGGUGAUCCAGGCUGACCUGGACAGGCUCAGCAAGUGGGCGGACGAGAAUCUGAUGGUGUUCAACGCCGAUAAAUGCAAGGUUCUCCACCUUGGGAAGAAAAACCCGCAGCAUCCUUAUAGGCUCGGCAGUGCUAUGUUGGCUAGCACUAUGCAAGAAAGAGACUUGGGGGUCAUCGUUGACCACAAGAUGAAUAUGAGCCUGCAGUGCGAUGCUGUGGCUAGUAAAGCAACCAAAACGCUGGCUUGCAUCCAUAGAUGCUUCUCAAGCAAAUCCCGGGACGUCAUUUUCCCCUUUGUACUCGGCCCUAGUGAGGCCGCAGCUGGAGUACUGCAUCCAGUUUUGGGCUCCACAAUUCAAAAAGGAUGUGGAGAAGCUUGAGAGAGUCCAGAGAAGAGCCACGUGCAUGAUCAGAGGUCAGGGAAGCAGACCCUACGAUGACAGGCUGAGAGCCCUGGGGCUCUUUAGCCUGGAAAAGCGCAGGCUUAGGGGUGAUCUGAUGGCCACCUAUAAGUUUAUCAGGGGUGACCACCAGUAUCUGGGGGAACGUUUGUUCACCAGAGCACCCCAAGGGAUGACGACUAGGUCGAACGGUCAUUAACUACGACAAGACUGUUUCAGGUUGGACAUAAGGAAGAAUUUCUUUACUGUCCGAGCCCCCAAGGUCUGGAACAGCCUGCCACCGGAGCUGGUUCAAGCACCUACAUUGAACACCUUCAGGAGCAAACUGGAUGCUUAUCUUGCUGGGAUCCUAUGACCCCAGCUGACUUCCUGCCCUUUGGGCAGGGGGCUGGACUCGAUGAUCUUCCAAGGUCCCUUCCAGCCCUAAUGUCUAUGAAAUCUAUGAAAUGACCACAGGGAAACCAAUCAACAGUACCAGGGAACGAAGAGUUAUUAGAGGAAUGAAGUUAAACAAAAAGCAUAAAAGGAGGCAACAAAGAAGGUAAGUGUUACCUAUUUAACAUCAUCUAGACCAUGCCAGCCAGAAGACCACCUAGAUGACCACCUUUUACUUUCAGGACUGUUAAUUGGCCAUCAGAACCUGUGGUGGAAUAACAUUUUAAAUUGCGUGAGACCGUUGGUCUAAAUGUUUUUCUCUCUCUCUCUCUGUAUCAAAAUUACCAAUAUAACAUCUGUUGUAUUAAUAAAAAAAUUGAUUUUACUUAAGUUGAA